UCAUGAUAAUCAUGAUUAUGAUCAUGAUGAUCAUGAUUAUGACCAUGAUGAUCAUGAUUAUGAUCAUGAUGAUCAUUAUGAGGUUCU
rnacentral:pre_miRNA from 1 species